rnacentral:lncRNA from 1 species
GUGAUCCAGGUCAUCCCAUCAGACCAGUACCCUACAGGGCUUUAAGUUACCAAGUUUUCAGUUCUUUUGAAGGAGGAAACAGCAAAGGUGUAGACCUGGGAAUAAUAUCCCACCCUGGAGGGCACCUCUUCCCCUCCUCAGUAAGCUACAAAGGCAAGAGUCAUUGAGAACUCACAGAUCUCCCCCAGGUCAGGGUUGUGGAAAAUGUCUGCAGCUUGCUGAUGGACACAGCCACCAGGAGCUCAGGCACAGAGCUCACAGGCCUCACAGGUCUCCCAGGACUCCAGGCUUCCCAGCCACCCACCACUACCCUUCUCUUCCCUCCGAGUCUUCUCAGCUUCACUCACUCCUUUCCAAUGCAGCAUCUGCCCUCCUGCUAGAUCUGCUUUCCUUCAUCUGUAGCAUUUCCUCCUUUGUUCUCCACCACCCUUUUCCCUUCUUCCCUCCUUCCCAAUACUUCUUUCUCCUCUUCUCUCCUACUUCUCUCCCCACUCCUUCCCUCUCUUCCACUCCAGAUCCCUUCCUUCCUUCUUCCUUUCUUCCUUCUUUCCCCAGUCAGCCAGUGCCCUGUACCCGAAGUCAGUAUGGACAAUUCCAGAAAAUGAAGAUACCACCUUGCUCAGGAGGAGCUCACAGUUCUAGUAAGAGAGACAGAUGGGUAAGACUGCCAUGUGACAAAUUCCUAAAACCUGGAGGGCCCUGGGAUGAUUUGAGGAAACACCCUCUCUUUCCUCACUACUCUGAGUCUAAGCAAACUUAUUGUCAUAGCCUCAUCCGUGGAUCCUGGUGGUGCCUUUGUGCAAGCUUUGAUCCACUUCUGGGAAAACAGGCCCUGUGCCAAGGCACAUGCUUUACAGAGGGAAGUAUGCAUUGGGUUUCAGCUCCCACUUGCUCUCUUGGCUGGGAGGUUUGUGUAGUGCACAAAUAUGGAAGUUCUGCUCUGGGGUCCAUGCUUUUAGCCAGUAAUUGGCUUUGCUCUACUGGACCCCACUGGGCCUUUGGGAAGAACCAGAAAGGCUUUGCAAACAGAGAGGCACCUCUACUCAAAUGAAGGAAGCUCACAGAGUGUGUUUCCUGGAGCUGCCUUACAUCUUCAUCUUCCUGGAGGCCUGGGGCCCCCACCUACUUCUCUGCCUGAACUCUUUCUCUCUUCUUUCCCCUCACCCUCCAAGGCUGAGGAAGAGAGGGUGUCUCUUACCUCUCAUCUUUCUGUGCAGUUGGAAUCGACAGGUCCUAAGGCAG